rnacentral:rRNA from 1 species
GAGUUUGAUCCUGGCUCAGGAUGAACGCUGGCGGCGUGCUUAACACAUGCAAGUCGAACGAUGACUUCUGUGCUUGCACAGAAUGAUUAGUGGCGAACGGGUGAGUAACACGUGAGUAACCUGCCCUUGACUUCGGGAUAAGCCUGGGAAACCGGGUCUAAUACCGGAUACGACCUCCUGGCGCAUGCCAUGGGGGUGGAAAGCUUUAUUGCGGUUUUGGAUGGACUCGCGGCCUAUCAGCUUGUUGGUUGGGGUAAUGGCCCACCAAGGCGACGACGGGUAGCCGGCCUGAGAGGGUGACCGGCCACACUGGGACUGAGACACGGCCCAAACUCCUACGGGAGGCAGCAGUGGGGAAUAUUGCACAAUGGGCGAAAGCCUGAUGCAGCGACGCCGCGUGAGGGAUGACGGNCUUCGGGUUGUAACCCUCUUCAGCANGNAAGAAGCGAAAGUGACGGUACCUGCAGAAGAAGCGCCGGCUAACUACGUGCCAGCAGCCGCGGUAAUACGUAAGGGCGCAGCGUUAUCCGGAAUUAUUGGCCGUAAAGAGCUCGUAGGCGGUUUGUCCCGUUCUGCUGUAAAACCCGGGGGCUCACCCCCGGGUUCUGANUGGGUU